CCCCAACACAUUCCCCUCUCCCUCCAUUCAUUUGGUCCCUCACCGGCUUGAUUUCUCCGCAGCAUGGGCUCGCGGCGACCUCCUCCGCCCGCCGCCGCCGUUCUACUCGGGUUGCUUCUACAGCACCGCGCCCCACUGUUCGAGCCGUGGGUGAGGCAAGUCGCGCCACCAUCUUCCUCGUGCGCGCACCGGCCCUGUCCCCGCUUGCCUGCCUCGCCGCCCCGCCUCUCGCUGUUGUGUCCCCGCGGCGGCACCUCCCUCCUCGGCCCCCUAGUCGAGUUCCGCCCCUUCUCCGAGCCUCGACGGCAGCCGGAUCUGGGCGCACCGUGGCGCUCCAAUCUCCGGUGGCGACCGAAUUCGGGCGCUCCUCCCCCACCACCCUCCCCCUCCCAUGGCGCCACCCUACUCCCCUGCUCGCCCUCGUCUUCGAUUGCUUGAGAGAUUCGACUGCUUGAGCUGUUCUUCGAUCCGGCAACUAGCUGAUGAGUCACACGUUUUGUCCCCUUUCAUUACCUGCAACUUGCUGAUUCUUUUCUGAUUUGUGCAGGUCAUCUUGCUUUUGCAGCAUCUAUUUGGCUGCUUUUGAUCUCUCAUGUUACUGUGCCUUGGACUUGGUUGAGCAAUAAUCUCAGUUCUCAAUGAAAGAUCUCACCAUGAAUAUAUUUCCUUUUGCUUCCACUGCGGCUCCUCGAUUUGUACUUUCUGGUUUGCUCUGUCCUGAAGGUUCGACAGUUUGGUAACAGCAGCUGCAUCUCGACCAUGAGGCAAUAGAAACAGAAGAAGGGAUGGGAUGUAGCAGAUGAGCGCCAUGUUGUGUUGAGUGGUUCGGGAAGCUUAACCUGGUGUGAAGUGGUCCGAAUUAUGCCAGCAGCAACUCAUUUGAUGAGCGGAAAUUCUAAUAUUUUAUCCUCACCCCUUUAUGGAUAGCUAGCCAAGUUCCUUCAGGGAGCAUGGUUUAUGGUUGCUCACCUGUAUGAUCCGUUGCGGGCGCAUCAAUAGGAGAGUCGGAUUGAAUUGUUCAUGGGCCAUCGACAUGGCAGAGGCAUAAGAGGCCACCAAGGUUUGCCUGGCAGCUUCCUCGCACGUACUACCUCCCUAGAAUCAGUUUGUAGAUUCGGUUUCCUGUCCAUGUUUAGGCGGCAUUGCCCAGUAUGCACCUGCUACCUCAAGUGCAGUUGAAAGUCGUUUGAAACGCAGGAAAUACAUAUUACAGAAGCUUAUAGUUCAUUCAGGAAUAGCUUCAUCCCCAGCUAUCUAUGAGGAUAUUCGGCUGCUGGACAUGCCAGAACUAUCAGCCGACACCAAAGCGAAAAUGCUGCAGUUUUCCCAAGCCGCUAAAUGCAUCUACUGUUAAUGCAUUUUCGCUGUCAUCAUUCAGCCUAUGUUACCAUGAAAACAUUUCAUCCUCUGCUCAAUGUAUUUAUGCAUUUUGCCAUUUCUAUUCCUAAAUACAAUACCUAUUAAGUCAUAUGCCUUCCAAAUUUCCUGCAGCUUGUAUGUAGCCUUCAGCAACUAUUUGUACUUUAAAUUAAAUGCACCUUGCAUUAAUGUUUAUAUGUGCACCUGUCCAUUCAUUUCCAUACUUAAUACCUCACAGUAUUGUUUCUCUUUGCCCCGCGAAAUGACAGUCUUAGCAAAACACACAGCAAACCAACCUUACGCACGAAUCCCUGCCUCAUCCAAAAGAUAACUGUUCUAAACCAUAAUCAGUUGGAACCUUCUGCUACAUUUAAACGCAAUAGACGUAUGCACCUUCCACGGGCUCGCGUGCCAAAUACAAUAACUUCUGCCUGAAUACAAUACCUACUAAGUCACUACUUCUCUUUCUUGCGCAAAAUUAAUAUGCAGCGUUCUUCGCCGCACGCCAAUGGCGCGCCUCAUGCACUAGUUUGAGGACAGUUCAGGAGGCUGGGUAUCUUCAGACUUCAGAUUUGGGACCUGAGGCAGGAUGUGGUACUGCAUCCUCAAACCUUGGACGUGCACUUGUGGAGACACAGGCUGUCCGGUGAAUACUAAUCGAGCUCUGUGUACUGCACAUUCUUCCAUGGCGCAGCCAACUCUGAACCGAUUGAUUCAUUUUGCUACCUUGCUCACAGUGCGCUGAUUGGUCU